GACGAACGCUGGCGGCGUGCUUAACACAUGCCAGUCGAACGCUGAAGCUCAGCUUGCUGGGUGGAUGAGUGGCGAACGGGUGAGUAACACGUGAGUAACCUGCCCUCUUCUUUGGGAUAACGCCCGGAAACGGGUGCUAAUACUGGAUAUUCACUGAUUCUCGCAUGGGGGUUGGUGGAAAGGUUUUUUCUGGUGGGGGAUGGGCUCGCGGCCUAUCAGCUUGUUGGUGGGGUGAUGGCCUACCAAGGCUUUGACGGGUAGCCGGCCUGAGAGGGUGACCGGUCACAUUGGGACUGAGAUACGGCCCAGACUCCUACGGGAGGCAGCAGUGGGGAAUAUUGCACAAUGGGCGAAAGCCGGAUGCAGCGACGCCGCGUGAGGGAUGGAGGCCUUCGGGUUGUAAACCUCUUUCGCUCAUGGUCAAGCCGCAGCGUUGGGUUGUGGUGAGGGUAGUGGGUAAAGAAGCGCCGGCUAACUACGUG
rnacentral:rRNA from 1 species